CCCACCAAGAUCUCCACCCUCUCCCCCGCCAGCGUCAUCCACUCACGUUCUUUCCUUAAAGCGGGGAGGCCCCAGAUCGAGUUGAGCAAGUCAGGGGCCGCCGCCGACGCGGAUCCCCACGAACGAGCCAGCCAUCGCCGCUGCGGUUCCCCACGAACGAGCCAGCCAUCGCCGCCUCGGAUCCCCACGGACGCCGCCGCGGAUCACCACCGUAGCCCUCUCCUUCUCCCCCUCCGUUCGUGCCUCCUACCUCUUCCUCCAAUCUCCAGGUAAAUCCUGAUCCGCGAGUUCCUGGUUUUGAACAUAUGGUGUGUGUUGCUGUACUGCAGGUCCUUUGGGGAGAAGAGCUUCUGCGGUAGGUCGUUGUCGGCGGCGGUAUCACACCUCUCACUCGUCUUCUAUCAGAUUGUGCCAGACCAACCAUCAAGUUAUUUUCACCUGGCAACAUGUGCUCGUGAUGCCAUUUGAAUUUUCGAGCAAGUCUCGGUCUUUCCUGGUCCGGCUAUCCAGGCGACAAAUGCCAACUUGGUAGCAGUUAUCGAGCAUGGCUAAGAAGAAGGUAAUUCAUAUAUGCAUGGUGCAGAUUUGUAAACUCUAAUAUCCUCAUACUUUCUCUCUGUUUUUUCAGUGGGUAGGGGUUGGUGCGACUAAGGCCCCGUUCGUAAUCUCUCUGCUCCUCCACUCCGCGGAGUUGGUGGAGCUCGGUCUUCGCAGCUCCAUUAAAGUGAGGUCCGCUCCGGGAGCAGAGUUAAGAGAGCGGAGAGGAACCGAACGCUUCCUAACUGUACUUGCUUCCUAGAGAACAACUAUCACAAAUCACAUGCAAGUUCAGUCGUCGUGAGCUAUAGUAUUCGACAAAAAUGUACAUGGCAUUGAGCUAUAAUAUUUAUUUCGUUUUCAUUCUUAUAAUAUAAAGUUCAGUGUUACUUCCA
rnacentral:lncRNA from 1 species